UUCGACUCUUUGGUAGUUGCAAAAACAAAUAGAACUCAUGGGAUCUUGCGAAGAUAGUGGAGGAUGAGGAAGAUGGGAAAAUUAAAGAAACAAAGAAAGCCACAUGAUUCCACAAAAAGCACAUGAUUCCACAAAAAGCCACAUAAUUCCUUGAGCCCAAAUCUCAGAAUAAAUCUAAUUUUAACACAUAAGGUAGAAAUUGAAACUUGCAGAGAAGUGCGGCCACCGUCGCGAUGUUGUGAUGCUGAUGAUUGAUGGAUGAUGAUGAACCGACUACUGAGAGAGAGAAAUCUCCGAACCAGACCCAAGACCUCUUCUUCACCGGGAUAUGAGCUAAACUUCAACGACAGGACUUGGGCUAAUAAAAAAACUCAUUUGAUUUCGAGAAGGUCAAAGACAUGAGAAGAAUAAGCAAUCAAAGAGGUACGGUCAAAUCAAUGCUUUCAAUCAGCUUUAACCAAUUCUUUAAUUGCUCAGUCGAAAGAAUCGGGGCCACGUUGAUUUUGAAUUUAUUUGCUGAAUUAUGGGGAAUGAACAUGAGGAAGCGGCGGCCGUAGGAAAUAUAGGGUU
rnacentral:lncRNA from 1 species